GAUAAACGCUGGCGGCGCACAUAAGACAUGCAAGUCGAACGGACUUAACCAUUAGUUUACUAUUGGAGCGGUUAGUGGCGGACUGGUGAGUAACACGUAAGCAACCUACCUAUUAGAGGGGAACAACAGUUAGAAAUGACUGCUAAUACCGCAUAUGCCGUGAGUACCACAUGGUACAAAUGGGAAAGGAGCAAUCCGCUGAUAGAUGGGCUUGCGUCUGAUUAGCUAGUUGGUGGGGUAAUGGCCUACCAAGGCAACGAUCAGUAGCCGAACUGAGAGGUUGAACGGCCACAUUGGGACUGAGAUACGGCCCAG
rnacentral:rRNA from 1 species